rnacentral:rRNA from 1 species
UACGGGGGGGGCAAGCGUUGUUCGGAAUUACUGGGCGUAAAGGGUGCGUAGGCGGUGCUCUAAGUCGGAUGUGAAAACUCUGGGCUCAACCCAGAGCCUGCAUCCGAAACUGGAGUGCUAGAGUUCUGGAGGGGGUAGCGGAAUUCCUGGUGUAGCGGUGAAAUGCGCAGAUAUCGGGAGGAACACCGGUGGCGAAGGCGGUUCUCUGGGCCUGACCUGACGCUGAGGAGCGAAAGCGUGGGGAGCGAACAGG